rnacentral:rRNA from 1 species
GACAGAGGGUGCAAACGUUGUUCGGAAUUACUGGGCGUAAAGCGUGCGCAGGCGGCUUCUCAAGUCAGGGGUGAAAGCCCAGAGCUCAACUCUGGAACUGCCUUUGAGACUGAGAGGCUUGAGUACGGGAGAGGUGAGUGGAAUUCCCAGUGUAGAGGUGAAAUUCGUAGAUAUGCGGAGGAACACCGAUGGCGAAGGCAAUCCCCUGGGCCUGUACUGACGCUCAUGCACGAAAGCGUGGGGAGCAAACAGG